UGAACUCCGGCGCACUCAACCACUGAGCCAUAUGGCAUCCCCAACCAUAUUUUAUACUUUAUUUAGAGACAGUGUCUCACUGAGUUGCUUAGCACCUUGCAGUUGCUGAGGCUGGCUUUGAACUUUCGAUCCUCCUGUCUCAGCCUUCCAAGUUGCUGGGAUUGCAGGUGUGCACCAUGGUACCCAGUGCCUGUAUUGUCUAAAGGGAAAAAACAACCCUGUGAUCAGUGGUCAUCCUAGUGACAAACACUGCUCUUGAACCAAGCUGGGCCUCUGUGAUUUAGAACACCUCAGCAGCUCCAACUACAGAGCUCACCAACUCUAUAAAACCAGAAUUUAAUUGAGCUGUGUUAUGAAAGGCUCUAAUAAUAGAGCAUGCCACUUGAAGGAGAUGCCACAGCCCACUGGUACUGCAGAAGCUCCCUGUGUGAGGGAGGCCUGCAGCUUGAUGUCACAGCUCAACACUUCAUUUACGUAAGGCAUAUUUGAUCGCAUGAUUAUGUAAUGAGGUUUGCUAAUGUUUUCUUGUUUAGUUCUUGAAAGUCCAUAGGCCUAAAAAUAAAUGUUUUCUGUGAUUGUUUCGAUGACCCUCAGAGUCCAUGGCAAAGAGAGAUUAAAAGGAAAAAAAAAAAAUGAGUUUCAAAUAAAAUUAAUGCCCCAGGACAGUGAAGUGAACUUUAUGUCAAAAUAUAGAGGCUAGUCUCUCUUAUGCUAAGAUGGCUAUUUAGUUUCAUCUUAAUUAAAAUAAAGAAAAAGCUGAGUGUCAAACAUUUUCACAUAAAGCGUUGAAAUUCGUACCCAGCUGACCUGUAUCUAGAGCUGAUUUAAAGUUGUAACAGCUUACAUGGCCUCUGCUAGUGACCAUGUUGAAAUACUUGUAGCCUGCCAGGAAUAUCACCAGCAUGCACACCCUUCAGCCACCCAUUCCCCACCCAACAACUAAAGAGGCAACCCCACAGAGUAGGGUCUUGCUGGACUCUGCCAAGCAGUGUAGCCCAAGGUCUCGUCUGAUUAGGUAGAGCCCUGCUAGUUGUUAAAUUUCUUAAUUCCAGCGUUCAUCCUUAUCUGCAGCUAAAGUGGCCAAAUGGCACAGUAAUAGAUCAUCUAAAAUCCACAUUGGAUAUUUUUUCUUUUACUUAAUACCAAAUUUAGGAAUGUGAUAGAUGAAUUAAAUGGCCAAAUGUAAAACUGUUGAGAGCACCAAACCUGGGGAAAGCAUCCCCUGCUUGCUUAACUCUCCUAACACUAUGAUCCCCCAUCGCUCUUUCUUGUACACACAAAUUUUCUUUUAUUGCAUUCUGAGAAGACACAG
rnacentral:lncRNA from 1 species